GAGAAACAACGACAACAACAAAACAGUACCGAGCACGCCGCCGUCCCAGUCGUAGGCACCCACGAUCCCGAACAGAAUUCCAUCCUGGGCGACAGAACGGACAGAUGGCACACACACAUACGGGGAACAUCAACGUGCACGCAGAGUGAUGGCCGACUUACAUCCAGUAUGUGCGUGGAGAAGCCAAUCUGGGACAUCUCCAUGUGGAAGGAGCUCUGGUUGUAGCCCAGUGUGCCUGAAGAAAGACGAGCAGUCAACCAUGAUGCAUAGAAGAGUGGUCCACUCCGACAGCGAGCGCAUCUUCCAGACUGGUACCUCGCCGGAAAUGACAGCAAAGCGUCGGGCAGCUCCUCGCCGUCAUGUGACUCUCCGUCCGUCACCACGAUCAUCACCUUGGUGGCUCCAUCUCUGGCUCCCCGCUCAGCGCUGAAGGCCUCCGUGCUGCAAACGCAAAGAAGAAAA